GGCCGACUAGCUCAGUUGGUUAGAGCGUGGUGCUAAUACGUUGAUUGGCCACAGUCAAUCAUGUAACGCCAAGGUCGUCGGUUCGACCCCGGCGUUGGCCA